rnacentral:rRNA from 1 species
UUAUUGGAGAGUUUGAUCCUGGCUCAGGACGAACGCUGGCGGCGUGCCUAAUACAUGCAAGUCGAGCGGGGUUCAUUAGAAGCUUGC